AUGGGGGAGAAGAUGGAAGAUAUCGAGGCCGUGCUGGGCGAUGCCGAAGAGAGGUCGCGUCGCAGAGGAGAAGCCGGAAGAGUGUUUCAGCAGUGGCUUACCAAGUUUAAGCGCGUCGCCUAUGACGUUGAGGACGUGCUGGAUGAGCUGGACGCCGAUGAGCUCAUCAGCAAGACACAAUCCAAGUUAACUAACUACUCUACUUUCCCAUCUCCUCUCAGCUGGUGA
rnacentral:rRNA from 1 species